rnacentral:rRNA from 1 species
GACCUUGAAAUACCACCCUUUAAUGUUUGAUGUUCUAACGUGGACCCGUAAUCCGGGUUGCGGACAGUGUCUGGUGGGUAGUUUGACUGGGGCGGUCUCCUCCUAAAGAGUAACGGAGGAGCACGAAGGUUGGCUAAUCCUGGUCGGACAUCAGGAGGUUAGUGCAAUGGCAUAAGCCAGCUUGACUGCGAGCGUGACGGCGCGAGCAGGUGCGAAAGCAGGUCAUAGUGAUCCGGUGGUUCUGAAUGGAAGGGCCAUCGCUCAACGGAUAAAAGGUACUCCGGGGAUAACAGGCUGAUACCGCCCAAGAGUUCAUAUCGACGGCGGUGUUUGGCACCUCGAUGUCGGCUCAUCACAUCCUGGGGCUGAAGUAGGUCCCAAGGGUAUGGCUGUUCGCCAUUUAAAGUGGUACGCGAGCUGGGUUUAGAACGUCGUGAGACAGUUCGGUCCCUAUCUGCCGUGGGCGCUGGAGAACUGAGGGGGGCUGCUCCUAGUACGAGAGGACCGGAGUGGACGCAUCACUGGUGUUCGGGUUGUCAUGCCAAUGGCACUGCCCGGUAGCUAAAUGCGGAAGAGAUAAGUGCUGAAAGCAUCUAAGCACGAAACUUGCCCCGAGAUGAGUUCUCCCUGAGACUUAGAGUCUCCUGAAGGAACGUUGAAGACGACGACGUUGAUAGGCCGGGUGUGUAAGCGCAGCGAUGCGUUGAGCUAACCGGUACUAAUGAACCGUGAGGCUUAACCUUAC